GGUCCUUCCAGCCUCUUGCUCCUGUGAAUCACAGGUCGGCGGGAGCCUUUUUUCCUUUUUUUUUUUUUCCCGGGGAGUCGGCCUCGGGGCUCUGCUCUCCUACCUCAGUCUGCCCUACCCUGGAAUGGGGAAAAUGCGGACAUGCCACUCAGUCCGGCCGCGAACAGUGCUCCAGAACUCAGAGAGUUUUCCAGACGGGUGGAGAUCGCGUUCCCUGCCCGCCGAGGUCCCAUCGCUUCCCUGCUGGGAAGACAAAUGAGGCGCUUUAGCCGUCUCCACGGCCAGCCCCUCCCUCAUAACCCGAGAUUCUUUGUGGGCUCUUAGUCCAUAGCUGCCUUUGAGGUGGUGUAGACCUUGCUAACCAGGACGGCCCAGUAGGCAGAGCUCAUUUUUAUUCCUGUCUGCAAUCGUGCAAAAACGCCUCUUAUGGAAAAGCCAGAGCGCCAGGAGUCAGCAAAACACACUAAAGAUUGGGCAGUCACUGGGGAGAACACUCAGCCCGCCUGCACCCAGGUGAAAUAUACAGCCUUGUUGCUCACACAAAGCCUGUUUGGUGGUUUCUUCACACGGAUGCAUGUGACAUUUGGUGCUGAAGACCCAGGACAGGAGGACUCCUUUGGGAGACCAGUGCCCUGUUGUCGCCCUCACUCCGUGAGGAGAUCCACCUAUGAUCUCAGGUCCUCAGACCAACCAGCCCAAGGAACAUCUUGCCAAUUUCAAAUCGGGUUGUCAGAAUCUGCAGAGAAGCUUCCUCCAAUCUCCAGCCUGAGAGUUCAGGCCUGGUUACCAGCAUUCUAGAAGCUGAAAGAGGAGAAGUUCUUGGAAGACUAAGAAGUCCAACAUUCGAUGGCACACAAGGAGAUUAUAUCCCGCACCUGGCUUGGAGGAUCCUACGCCCAUGGAGCCUCGCUCAUUGGUGGCACAGCAGUCUGAGAUCAAACUGCAAGGUGGCAGCGAGGCUGGGGGCAGGGCGCCCACCAUUGCCGAGGCUUGAGUAGGUAAACAAAGCACCCGGGAAGCUCGAACUGGGUGGAGCCCACCCCAGCUCAAGGAGGCCUGCCUGCCUCUGUAGACUCCACCUCUGGGGGCAGGGCAUAGCCAAACAAAGGCAGCUGAAACCUCUGCAGACUUAAAUGUCCCUAUCUGACAGCUUUGAAGAGAGUAGUGGUUCUCCCAGCACGCAGCUUGAGAUCUGAGAAUGGACAGACUGCCUCCUCAAGUGGGUCCCUGACCCACAAGUAGCUUAACUGGGAGGCAACCCCCAGUAGGGGCAGACUGACACCUCACACGGCCAGGCACUCCUCUGAGACAAAACUUCCACAGGAAUGAUCAGGCAGCAACAUUUGCUGUUCACCAAUAUCUGCUGUUCUGCAGCCUCCGCUGCUGAUACCCAGGCAAACAGGGUCUGGAGUGGACCUCCAGCAAACUCCAACAGACCUGCAGCUGAGGGUCCUGACUGUUAGAAGGAAAACUAACAAACAGAUAGGACAUCCACACCAAAACCCCAUCUGUACGUCACCAUCAUCAAAGACCAAAGGUAGAUAAAAUCACAAAGAUGGGGAAAAAACAGAGCAGAAAAACUGGAAACUCUAAAAAUCAGAGUGCCUCUCCUUCUCCAAAGGAAUGCAGCUCCUCACCAGCAGUGGAACAAAGCUGGAUGGAGAAUGACUUUGACGAGUUGAGAGAAGAAGGCUUCAGAUGAUCAAACUAGUCCGAGCUAAAGGAGGAAGUUCGAACCCAUGGCAAAGAAGUUAAAAACCUUGAAAAAAAAUUAGAUGAAUGGCUAACUAGAAUAACCAAUGCAGAGAAGUCCCUAAAGGACCUGAUGGAGCUGAAAACCACGGCACAAGAACUAUGUGACGAAUGCACAAGCCUCAGUAGCCGAUUCAAUCAACUGGAAGAAAGGGUAUCAGUGUUGGAAGAUCAAAUGAAUGAAAUGAAGUGAGAAGAGAAGUUUAGAGAAAAAAGAAUAACAAGAAAUGAACAAAGCCUCCAAGAAAUAUGGGACUAUGUGAAAAGACCAAAUCUACAUCUGAUUGGUGUACCUGAAAGUGACGGGGAGAAUGGAACCAAGUUGGAAAACACUCUGCAGGAUAUUAUCCAGGAGAACUUCCCCAAUCUAGCAAGGCAGGCCAACAUUCAAAUUAAGGAAAUACAGAGAACACCACAAAGAUACUCCUUGAGAAGAGCAACUCCAAGACACAUAAUUGUCAGAUUCACCAAAGUUGAAAUGAAGGAAAAAAUGUUAAGGGCAGCCAGAGAGAAAGGUUGGGUUACCCACAAAGGGAAGCCCAUCAGACUAACAGCUGAUCUCUUGGCAGAAACUCUACAAGCCAGAAGAGAGUGGGGGCCAAUAUUCAACAUUCUUAAAGAAAAGAAUUUUCAACCCAGAAUUUCAUAUCCAGCCAAACUAAGCUUCAUAAGUGAAGGAGAAAUAAAAUCCUUUACAGACAAGCAAAUGCUGAGAGAUUUUGUCACCACCAGGCCUGCCCUAAAAGAGCUCCUGAAUGAAGCACUAAACAUGGAAAGGAACAACCGGUACCAGCCACUGCAAAAACAUGUCAAAUGGUAAAGACCAUUGAGGCUAGGAAGAAACUGCAUCAACUAACGAGCAAAAUAACCAGCUAACAUCAUAAUGACAGGAUCAAAUUCACACAUAAUAAUAUUAACCUUAAAUGUAAAUGGGCUAAAUGCCCCAAUUAAAAGACACAGACUGGCAAAUUGAAUAAAGAGUCAAGACUCAUCAGUGUGCUGUAUUCAGGAAACCCAUCUCACGUGCAGAGACACACAUAGGCUCAAAAUAAAGGGAUGGAGGAAGAUCUACCAAGCAAAUGGAAAACAAAAAAAGGCAGGGGUUGCAAUCCCAGUCUCUGACAAAGCAGACUUUAAACCAACAAAGAUCAAAAGAGACAAAGAAGGCCAUUACAUAAUGGUAAAGGGAUCAAUUCAACAAGAAGAGCUAACUAUCCUAAACAUAUAUGCACCCAACACAGGAGCACCCAGAUUCAUAAAGCAAGUCCUUAGAGACCUACAAAGAGACUUAGACUCCCACACAAUAAUAAUGGGAGACUUUAACACCCCACUGUCAACAUUAGACAGAUCAACGAGACAGAAAGUUAACAAGGAUAUCCAGGAAUUGAACUCAGCUCUGCACCAAGCAUACCUAAUAGACAUCUACAGAACUCUCCACCCCAAAUCAACAGAAUAUACAUUCUUUUCAGCACCACACCACACCUAUUCCAAAACUGACCACAUAGUUGGAAGUAAAGCACUCCUCAGCAAAUGUAAAAGAACAGAAAUUAUAACAAACUGUCUCUCAGACCACAGUGCAAUCAAACUAGAACUCAGGAUUAAGAAACUCACUCAAAACCGCUCAAGUACAUGGAAACUGAACAACCUGCUCCUGAAUGACUACUGGGUAUAUAACAAAAUGAAGGCAGAAAUAAAGAUGUUAUUUGAAACCAAUGAGAACAAAGACACAACAUACCAGAAUCUCUGGGACACAUUCAAAGCAGUGUGUAGAGGGAAAUUUAUAGCACUAAAUGCCCACAAGAGAAAGCAGGAAAGAUCUAAAAUUGACACCCUAACAUCACAAUUAAAAGAACUAGAGAAGCAAGAGCAAACACAUUCAAAAGCUGGCAGAAGGCAACAAAUAACUAAGAUCAGAGCAGAACUGAAGGAAAUAGAGACACAAAAAACCCUUCAAAAAAUCAAUGAGUCCAGGAGCUGGUUUUUUGAAAAGAUCAACAAAAUUGAUAGACCACUAGCAAGACUAAUAAAGAAGAAAAGAGAGAAGAAUCAAAUAGACGCAAUAAAAAAAUGAUAGAGGGGAUAUCACCACCGAUCCCACAGAAAUACAAACUACCAUCAGAGAAUACUAUAAACACCUCUAUGCAAAUAAACUAGAAAAUCUAGAAGAAAUGGAUAAAUUCCUCGACACAUACACCCUCCCAAGACUAAACCAGGAAGAAGUUGAAUCUCUGAAUAGACCAAUAACAGGCUCUGAAAUUGAGGCAAUAAUUAAUAACUUACCAACCAAAAAGAGUCCAGGACCAGAUGGAUUCACAGCCAAAUUCUACCAGAGAUACAAGGAGGAGCUGGUACCAUUCCUUCUGAAACUAUUCCAAUCAAUAGAAAAAGAGGGAAUCCUCCCUAACUCAUUUUAUGAGGCCAGCAUCAUCCUGAUACCAAAGCCUGGCAGAGACACAACAAAAAAAGAGAAUUUUAGACCAAUAUCCCUGAUGAACAUCGAUGCAAAAAUCCUCAACAAAAUACUGGCAAACCAAAUCCAGCAGCACAUCAAAAAGCUUAUCCACCAUGAUCAAGUGGGCUUCAUCCCUGGGAUGCAAGGCUGGUUCAAGAUACGCAAAUCAAUAAAUAUAAUCCAUCAUAUAAACAGAACCAACGACAAAAACUACAUGAUUAUCUCAAUAGAUGCAGAAGACCUUUGACAAAAUUCAACAACGCUUCAUGCUAAAAACUCUCAAUAAAUUAGGUAUUGAUGGGACGUAUCUCAAAAUAAUAAGAGCUAUCUAUGACAAACCCACAGCCAAUAUCAUACUGAAUGGAGAAAAACUGGAAGCAUUCCUUUUGAAAUCUGGCACAAGACAGGGAUGCCCUCUCUCACCACUCCUAGUCAACAUAGUGUUGGAAGUUCUGGCCAGGGCAAUCAGGCAGGAGAAGGAAAUAAAGGGUAUUCAAUUAGGAAAAGAGGAAGUCAAAUUGUCCCUGUUUGCAGAUGACAUGAUUGUAUAUCUAGAAAACCCCAUUGUCUCAGCCCAAAAUCUCCUUAAGCUGAUAGGCAACUUCAGCAAAGUCUCAGGAUACAAAAUCAAUGUGCGAAAAUCACAAGCAUUCCUAUACGCCAAUAACAGACAAACAGAGAGCCAAAUCAUGAGUGAACUCCCAUUCACAACUGCUUCAAAGAGAAUAAAAUACCUAGGAACCCAACUUACAAGGGAAGUGAAGGACCUCUUCAAGGAGAACUACAAACCACUGCUCAAUGACAUAAAAGAGGAUACAAACAAAUGGAAGAAAAUUCCAUGCUCAUGAGUAGGAAGAAUCAAUAUUGUGAAAAUGGCCAUACUGCCCAAGGUAACUUAUAGAUUCAAUGCCAUCCCCAUCAAGCUACCAUGACUUUCUUCACAGAAUUGGAAAAAACUACUUUAAAGUUCAUAUGGAACCAAAAAAGGGGCCGGAUUACCAAGUCAAUCCUAAGCCAAAAGCACAAAGCUGGAGGCAUCAUGCUACCUGACUUCAAACUAUACUACAAGGCUACAGUAACCAAAACAGCAUGGUACUGGUACCAAAACAGCAUGGUACUGGUACCAAAACAGAGAUACAGAUCAAUGGAACAGAACAGAGCCCUCAGCAAUAAUGCCACAUAUCUAUAACCAUGUGAUCUUUGACAAACCUGACAAAAACAAGAAAUGGGGAAAGGAUUCCCUAUUUAAUAAAUGGUGCUGGGAAAACUGGCUAGCCAUAUGUAGAAAGCUGAAACUGGAUCCUUUCCUUACAUCUUAUACAAAAAUUAAUUGAAGAUGGAUUAAAGACUUAAAUGUUAGACCUAAAACCAUAAAAACCCUAGAAGAAAACCUAGGCAAUACUAUUUAGGAAAAAGGCAUGGGCAAGGACUUCAUGUCUAAAACACCAAAAGCAAUGGCAACAAAAGCCAAAAUUGACAAAUGGGAUCUAAUUAAACUCAAGAGCUUCUGCACACCAAAAGAAACUACCAUCAGAGUGAACAGGCAACCUACAGAAUGGGAGAAAAUUUUUGCAAUCUACUCAUGUGACAAAGGGCUAAUAUCCAGAAUCUACAAUGAACUCAAACAAAUUUACAAGAAAAAAACAAAAAACCCCAUCAACAAGUGGGCGAAGGAUAUGAACAGACACUUCUCAAAAGAAGACAUUUACACAGCCGAAAGACACAUGACAAAAUGCUCAUCAUCACUGGCCAUCAGAGAAAUGCAAAUCAAAACCACAAUGAGAUACCAUCUCACACCAGUUAGAAUGGUGAUCAUUAAAAAGUCAGGAAACAACAGGUGCUGGAGAGGAUGUGGAGAAAUAGGAACACUUCUACACUGUUGGUGGGACUGUAAACUAGUUCAACCAUUGUGGAAGUCAGUGUGGCAAUUCCUCAGGGAUCUAGAACUAGAAAUGCCAUUCGACUCAGCCAUCCCAUUACUGGGUAUAUACCCAAAGGAUUAUAAAUCAUGCUGCUAUAAAGACACACGCACACGUAUGUUUAUUGCAGCACUAUUCACAAUAGCAAAGACUUGGAACCAACCCAAAUGUCCAACAAUGAUAGAUUGGACUAAGAAAAUGUGGCACAUAUACACCAUGGAAUAUUAUGCAGCCAUAAAAAAUCAUGAGUUCAUGUCCUUUGUAGGGACAUGGAUGAAGCUGGAAACCGUUAUUCUCAGCAAACUAUUGCAAGGACAAAAAACCAAACACCACAUGUUCUCACUCAUAGGUGGGAAUUGAACAAUGAGAACACAUGGACACAGGAAAGGGAACAUCACACACCCGGGCCUGUUGUGGGGUGGGGGGAGGGGGGAGGGAUAGCAUUAGGAGAAAUACCUAAUGUAAAUGACGAGUUAAUGGGUGCAGCACACCAACAUGGCACAUGUAUACAUAUGUAACAAACCUGCAUGUUAUGCACAUGUACCCUAGAACUUAAAGUAUAAUAAUAAUAAUAAUAAUAAAGAAAUCUCUAUUUCUUUCUCCCCAGCCUGGUAAUUAAAUGAAUAAUUCAAUAAAAGGAAAAUAUAUUGGUCAAGCUUUUUGUGACGUCAGUAAAAGGCAUACUUUCCAACCUUUUGUAUUCAUCCAAACAAAGCUAAUGCACUUUUAAAAAUCCUAUACUUGUUUUUUUUCAGACCAUCUCGCUCUGUCGCCCAGGCUGGAGUGCAGUGGUGCAACCUCGGCUUACUGCAACCUCCGCCUCCUGGGUUCAAGUGACUCUCAUGCCUCAGCCUCCUGAGUAGCUGGGAUUACAGGCACCUGCCACCAUGCCAGGUUUGUUUGUAUUUUUAGUAGAGACAGGGUUUCACUAUGUUGGCCAGGCUGGUCUCAAACUCCUGACCUCAAGUGAUCCGCCCGCCUCAACCUCUCAAAGUGUUGGGAUUACAGACAUGAGCCACUGCGUCCGGCCUAAAAAUCCUAUAUUUGCAAUCUAUGUGACCACAACUGAUUUAAACCCAGAUGAAGAUAAGGUAUCAAAAUAAACCUCAGGCAGACUGAGCUGUGCCACAAUUUUAACACUAACUGAUGAAGGCAGGAUGCUUCUCCUGCUCAGCUGAGCAUCCUGUCUCCCAAACUCAAAAAACUAAAAUCCUGGAAUCUUAGAACUGGAAGUGACCCUUGUCUUUGUGACUGUCCUUGAGCUCUGCUACCCAUGAGUUUUGCCUCCAAAAUUGUCCCUUUUAUAUGAAGUAGGACUCUGCGCAGCCAGAAUUUUUUGUGUUACCUCUUUGUAAUCAGAUAGGGCACAACUGGCUGAGAUUGUUGUCAGUAUGUGGGUGUGGCUGGAAAAAAAUACCCUCUGUGACCAAUAGUUCUUUCUUCACUGUACACAGCUUUCAUACU
ensembl:lncRNA OLMALINC oligodendrocyte maturation-associated long intergenic non-coding RNA